rnacentral:rRNA from 1 species
GCUGGCGGCGUGCUUAACACAUGCAAGUCGUGCGCGAAGGUGGCUUCGGCUGCCGGAGAGCGGCGAACGGGUGAGUAACACGUGGGUAAUCUGCCUGGGAGCGGGGGAUAACCUGGGGAAACUCGGGCUAAUACCGCAUACGAUGGCUGGGAUGAGUCCUGGUCAGGAAAGUUGGCCUCUGCUUGCAAGCUAGCGUUCCCAGAGGAGCCCGCGGCUGAUUAGCUAGUUGGUGGGGUAAUGGCCCACCAAGGCGACGAUCAGUAGCCGGCCUGAGAGGGUGAUCGGCCACACUGGGACUGAGACACGGCCCAGACUCCUACGGGAGGCAGCAGUGGGGAAUAUUGGACAAUGGGCGCAAGCCUGAUCCAGCAACGCCGCGUGGAGGAUGAAGGUCUUCGGAUCGUAAACUCCUGUCAGAUGGGACGAAGGUGACGAGGUGAACAACAUCGUUGCUUGACGGUACCGUCAGAGGAAGCCCCGGCUAACUCCGUG